rnacentral:rRNA from 1 species
UACGAAGGGGGCUAGCGUUGUUCGGAAUCACUGGGCGUAAAGCGCACGCAGGCGGAUCGUUAAGUCAGGGGUGAAAUCCCGAGGCUCAACCUCGGAACUGCCUUUGAUACUGGCGAUCUUCGAGUCCGGGAGAGGUGAGUGGAACUCCGAGUGUAGAGGUGAAAUUCGUAGAUAUUCGCAAGAACACCAGUGGCGAAGGCGGCUCACUGGCCCGAUACUGACGCUGAGGCACGAAAGCGUGGGGAGCAAACAGG